CACGUAGGCGGACUGUUUAGUCAGAGGUGAAAUCCCGGGGCUCAACCUCGGAAUUGCCUUUGAUACUGGCAGUCUUGAGUCCGAGAGAGGUGAGUGGAAUUCCGAGUGUAGAGGUGAAAUUCGUAGAUAUUCGGAGGAACACCAGUGGCGAAGGCGGCUCACUGGCUCGGUACUGACGCUGAGGUGCGAAAGCGUGGGGAGCAAACA
rnacentral:rRNA from 1 species